UUGAUCUCCUCAUCCGCCGCCGCCGCGAUGGCGCGGGCGCAGUCGCGUAUCGCCCUGUCACGAGGCCGCCGUCGGUGGUUGGGGAGGGGGUGGGAGGCGCCGGACGCGGCCCGCGCCCGUUGGGACGGGGAGGGAGUGCGGCUGAAGCGUUUUGGAGGAUAAGUCGACGGAAGGCUGGCGGAGAGCUACUGAACGUGUCACAGAUUCACAGGGAUUGGAAGGGACUUCUGGAAUCAUCGAGUCCGACCCCUGCUAAAGCAGGUUCCCUGUAGUAGGUCGCACAGAUGUCUCCUAUACUGGAUGGAAUACCAUCUGUGGCCUAAUUCAGGACAGAAAGGAGUGCUUGUAACUUGGAGUGAGUCAAGGCCCUCCCGGUUCUUAAACCUGUUAGCAACUGCUGGAUAAGCAAUCUCAUUCAGCUAGAUCACGACAGCUACAAAUGUAGUCCCCCUUGUGAAUGCCUGCUGAGAUUGAUGCUUUAGGCCUCAUCCUAAUCUUACGGAUGGCUGGCCACAUCUCAGCUCCUUCAUCUUCCUGGUAGAUAGGUGGAUGGCAGGUGAAUACCCCUCCCAUAUGUGCCAUCUAUCAUAAUGUCACUGCAGCAGGCUCACAUUGGCUUCCCAUUGCAGUUAGCAGCACUGAUGCUGUUGGUUAGCUGGAGAGGCAGCUCAGCAUGCACAGGCACACACAGCUUGAAGAGGAGCUCUGGAGGUCAUUGGCUCACAUUUUGGGUUCCCUGGCAGGCUGCCUGACAGCAGUCUUUUGAUUUCUUUGUGCAGGAAAGUGCAGCAGCUUGGCUUUGCAGGCAGUGCUCUGCUAACGUGCCGGACACCUCCACCAUGCUGCAGAGAGGUUUCUGCACAGCUUUGGACAAAGGGAUCCAGCAUAAGCAGUGGGAGAACUUCAGAGAACUUAGAGGGCUCAGCCUGGCACACAAAGGAGGGGAGUUAGCUUACUGAUAGGAAAGAUCUGCUUGCUGCCUCCAGGGCAAGCCACUUAUCCUUGCAUCAUUCUGCAAGAGAUGCGGGUGUGCACCUGAGACCUCCUGUUGCCCCAUCAGCCAAGAAUAUCCAGCUACAGCAAGGUCGCCUCCAGUAAAGUUGAUUUUCAGCACCACUUCUUUCAGGAAGAGGAUUUGAUGUCACCAAAGGAGAAAUGUUUGUCUUCUGAAACAGGAGCACAGCGUAUCUGUUACACAUUCUGCUGCUGACAAACUCAGUCCCAUCCGUGUCAGUACAUCUGCAUCCCUGCCUGCAGCCUGAAGGCAUACAAAGCAACAAGAGAAAGUACACCAGGCUUUCAUGAUAUUGCAGGCCAUUGUUUUCAAUUAUGUGUGAUUUAAAAGCAAUGGCCAGACCUCUGUACCAGUCCUCCAUGUCAUGUAACUAAUUCCUCCUUCCAAGCAGGUGGAAAGCAGUUCUGACCCUGCAGAAAUAUUCUAGUGGCAUUCACAUGCCCAGAAAGACCUGGUGAAAGCAAUACAGAGGAGAGAGAUUGUCCAGAAGGCUCUUUUAACACAGAAAAAAAAGGAGAGAUCCUUCCGUGUAACUGGCACAUGGGGUUCUGCAACACCACUACCACAAUGUAAAUGAAUUGGCAGCUGUCCUACACAGUGGUAACAUUUGUGCAGUAACAUUCACUGAAAUACACAGUAAAUAAUAUUUUUAAAAAUGAAAAAAAAAAAAAAAAAAAAAAGAGCACAGUCCUUUGAGGGUGACUUUAGUGCUAUUUAUUUACAUACAUACCUACACUAGUAAAGUAACAAAAAAUUUUUGGUGGAAGCUGUAUUUUUUGAGGGCAGCCAAUAAGCAUCUGUUGCUCUCAUUGCAGUAAGGCAGAGGAGAUGGGACUUUUCCCAUGUGCAGCUCCCAUAGUUUGCCUGCUCUCUGUAGUCCAGCACUUACUGCAUGUUUAUCUUUUGAUAACUCUGAUCAGAAAUUGGCAAAUGACUUCAAUGCUGAAGUUAAAUAAAGUCACUCUUUUAUAUACGAUUUUUUAAAGUAGAACUCUUUGCAGUGACUGUGGUCCACUGGAGCACUUCUCUGAGGUUGUUUCACUGGGAAUCUCUUUCUAAAAGAAGACAUAGUCUUGAAAUGACAGGUAAAGGCACACAGAUGAGAGCAACAGGCGGAGUACUCAGGGAUAUCCAGACACGUUUGACGCUGGCAUCCACUAACGAGACUGUCAAGUGCCUGUCAAAAUUCAAAUGUUUUUGUUGUGAGGCUUGGCAGUACCUAUGAGCACUGCUGACAGUUUGUUAAAAAUAACCCCAGAAAUGCAUCCUUUCUAGGUCAAAACUGACUGUGAAGCUGAGUGCACUGUAAUUACAGUGCACUAAAUGAGUUACAGCUUGAGCUAAUCACACCCCACUGCACUAAAAGCUGUAAUUACACAGAGAUAGUGUGAGCUUGGCAGCAUCUCCUAUGGCAGUCCAUGGCUCUGAGUGAAGCCUGGCACUCAGGUUGCUGCCACUGCUGGCUGGGGAUCUGCUGGGCCAACACACGGCUCAACAGGUGGAAUGAGCUGAUGUGUGUGCUUAACAAAGAGUAAAACAUAGUGGUAUUUAACUAGCAAAGAUGGUAUAAAGGAAAGCCAGAUGGCAAACUUACUUGAAAACAUGCAGCUAAUGAAGGACAUUUCUCAAACCCAUCAAAGCUAUGCUGGUUUUAUGGCAACAGAAUGUUGCCAGGAGUUUGUAUAAUUUAUUGGUGUAACCACAUAGAGAACUGGGGCCUCUGUAUUUUUCAUGCAUUCCAUUUUGUCCGCUUAUGUCAAAGCAGGUAUACGGAUGAGUUACUGAAUUUAAGGUUUGACACUUAAUUUUUGAUUUCUUGUUUUUCUGAAAUGUUCAGUUUUGCAUUACCGUGUCUCUGCAAGGGUACAGAAUGCUAUUUUUGGCAGUUUAGCCUUGUGCCAUCCAAGCUUUUCAUCAUCGAUUAAUAAAUGAUUUUGGGUUAUU